rnacentral:tRNA from 2 species
GCGGGAUUAACUCAACUGGUAGAGUGCUUCCCUUACAAGGAAGAAGUUCCGGGUUCGAGUCCCGGGUCCCGCACCA